rnacentral:lncRNA from 1 species
UACUCAGAUAUGCAUUGGUCGCCCAUUCUGGAAAGAACUGCUCCAAUUCCACCCCCUGACGCAUCGGUCUCAAUUAUGAAUUCCUCCUCGAAAUUAGGCAGGGCUAAGAUAAUGGUUGAACUCAUCGCCUCUUUUAGCUCUGCAAAUGCUUGUUCAGCUGUGUCUGACCAUUUAAACUUGUUUUUCUUAGUCAACUGAUGUAAUGGUCUAGCUAUUUCUCCGAAUCUUGGGCAAAAUUUUCGAUAAUAGCCUGCCAGCCCAAGGAAUCCUCUCAACUCCGUCACAUUUGUUGGGAUAGGCCAAUUUCUCACAGCUUCAAUUUUGCGUGGAUCAACUCUUACUCCUUCUUUUGAAAUAAAAUGACCCAAGUACUCUACUUCGCGUACACCAAAGAAACAUUUAGAAGGCUUUAUAACAAACUGAUGUUUCCUCAAAAUUUCCAGAACUUUGCGCAAGUGACGCAAAUGCUCGUCCCAACUUUUACUGUAAACCAAUAUAUCAUCGAAAAACACGAGGACAAAUUUACGUAGAUAAGGCCGGAAAAUAUGAUUCAUAAUCGACUGAGAAGUAGAGGGUGCAUUACAUAAUCCAAAAGCCAUUACCAAAUACUCAUAAUGCCCGUUGUGAGUCGGAAUGCUGUUUUGUGCACGUCAUCUGGGUGGACUCGAAUCUGGUGAUAUCCAGCCCGAGGUCAAGUUUAGAGAAAAAGGUGGCUCCGUGCAAUUCAUCCAGCAUAUCCUCUACAGUUGGAAUUGGAAAUCUAUCCUUGAUGGUGGCCUCGUUUAGGGCUCGAUAGUCGGUGCAGAACCUCCAAGUUUCGUCCUUUUUCUUUACCAAUAAAACGGAGAGGAGAACGGACUGUGCUGUAUCUGAUUAAGCCGCUGCCAUCAUUUCUUCGACCUGCUUUUCAAUCUCGUUCUUCUGAAGUGAGCGUAGCGAUAUGGUGCUACAUUUACAGGUUUUGAUUCGUCAGCUAGUCUGAUGCGGUGAUCGAAUUCUCUUUUAGGGGGCAAUGAAACGGAAGCAGUCGACACACCUUCGAAUUCGCUUAAAAGUUUAGCAAUUUCGUCGUUCUGCUCCUUUUCUAUCGAUCUUCGCAAUUAAGUUCUGGAGAUAUUAUAAAUAGAUCUCUCCUCGGAAGCCAACUCUCGCUGCAACAUGUCUAAGUCAAAAGGUCCAGGGGGUGUGUACCCAAUACCCUUCAACAAAACCAUUUCGUCACCACACCAAAAGUUCAAUGAUAACUCCUUGCAAUCAACCAGGAAAGGACUCACCAUUUCCAUCCAAGGCAUCCCAAAUACAAUAUCCAUCUUAGGCAAAGGCAAUGCAAAUAAUGUCACGUGGAAACAAAUCCCUUGAAUGAUGAUUGGUACCUGAUCGUAUCUCAUAUGGCAGGUCCGAGAGUGGCCACUUCCAGUAGUGACGGAAAAUGGGGACCCUCCACGUGUUGCCGAAAGUUGCAAAUAUUCAGCUAGCGGUGCGGAUAUGAAAUUAAGAGUCGCACCGCUAUCCACUAGUAUUAGGACAGGGCAUCUCCCAACAUGUCCUUCAAAUUUUAGCGCUCGUGCUCCUCCAUUUUCGUUUAGGUGAUUGAAAGAAAUUACUGCAUUUUUCUUUGCUUCUUCCAUUCCCAAUAGAUUAAACUCCGUCGUCACAUUUCCACCGCCUUCCGCUAUCCCGUCUUCAGGAGCUUCGUCGUAUUUUGGAGUGGCAAUUUCUCCCUCUGCUUCUGGUGCGGUUUCUUCCACUAUCAAACUCAUUGCCUUCGCGUUAGGACACACAUGGUUCCAGGUAUAUUUCUCAUCGCAUGUGAAACACUGCCCAGCUCGCCUUCUUUUUAUGAUUUCAUCAUUUGGAAGCUGAAUUCGCCCUUUACCAAUUGUUGGUGUGUUGGAUGGAGGCCUUGAGGUAGUAGGGAUGAAAGGCUUGGGGUUAAAAUUUCGACUUAUGGUGGCUGGACUUGAUAGCGUUAGAUCAGCUGCAGUCUGCAGAUCUAGGAUUAUCUUUAUUUUAUUAGUUUCAUAGUUAUCUUUUAUUUUUCGCAGUAGUUCAAUUAUUUAGGGUUAAGUUAUUUAGGUCAGACUCAUGGGCUCCAAGUUAUUUAAUUGGGCCUCAAGUCAUUAGGUCUAUAUAUAGUUCUUUACGACUUAGGGUUAAUUAUCUGGGGAUCAUUGUUUAGGGACAGCAAUAGCUGUAGGGCAGAGAUAUCUUUCUCUGAGGGCCUCGCAGGAGGAGUUUAUAUAUCGUAUUUUUAUUUCCUUUCUUAUUUCUUCAUCUUCAUACGCCUUUACUCUAUCAAAUUGGUGCGGUGAACGAUGGUUACUACGCGAAGUACCGAAUCUCGUUUGGAGGAUGUAGAGAAGGCGAUUGGGGAAUUGUCUGGCGUCAUUCGGGAGUUGCGGACUUUCCAAGCGUCAACAGAAGCCCGCCACUCAUCCAUGGAGACCAAACUUGAUGCCUUGAUGAAGAAGUUUUCCAUCACUGUUGAUACUCCACACGACGAGGAAUCGGGCGGGAGUCACAACAACGAGGAGAUUUUACCACCCAUGCACAAGAUGGACCUUCCAGGUUUUGAUGGGUCCGAUGCACACUCUUGGUUGGCUCGUGCUGAACAAUAUUUUUAGUGCACGCUACGCCCACUGAUCAACGCGUUAAAAUUGCACUCAUUGCUAUGUCCGGUUCUGCCAUGCCAUGGAUACAGAUGUUGCUGCGACGCUGCCCUACUUUGACUUGGUCGUCGUUUUACUCGCGAGUUAUUGAUUCGUUUCGGGGAUGGGUCUGCUAUUAUGGCUUUGAAGCUUUAGUUACUACAAAGCAGACGGGGACUCUGGAGGAGUAUAUUUCUGCUUUCGAAGCUCGAGUAUCCCAGCUGCCGGAAUUCUCGGAUGAGCAAUACUUGGGUUUUUUCCUCGGGGGAUUGAAGAAGGAACUUCGCAUGAUGAUUCAGGACCCGACUAUUACAGACUAUUCUGCUGCUGUCCAGAUGGCAAGAAAGCUCGACUCGGUUUGUACUCCACAAACGAGUUCUCCCUCUUUUCGGGUUACCACUACCCCGACGCCUCCAUCACGGUCUAGUUUCCAGCCGCAUGCUUCCCCAGUCAGACAUCACAGCCCUCCACCCACGACAAACACAUCAUUGGUUGUCUCCCACACGUCGUCCGCUUCUCCGACUGCAUCCCUCACUUCGUCUGCCCCUCCCCGUAAUUUUCGCAACAUCUCCACUGAAAUUUGGAGUACAUGAAACAUCGUGCAGCUGGCACUUGUUUCGUUGCGGCCUGAAAUUUGGCCGUUGCACCGCUGACCCACCUAAAACACUACAGGUUUUAAUCGGUGACAUGGAAGAUUACCCGGGCAGGGACCUAGAGAAUUCUGAGGAUACCGGGCUGAAGGAGGAAGUCCCAUGGGGUCAUGUGAAUCAGCAACCGCCUUGAGGACAAGGCUGUUUCGACAGGCGGGCAAUUGAUAGCGUGUAGAUCAGCUGCAGCCUGUAGAUUUAGGAUUAUCUUUAUUUUAUUAGUUUUUGUUAGUUUCAUAGUUAUCUUUUAUUUUUCGCAGUAGUUCAAUUAUUUAGGGUUAAGUUAUUUAGGUCAGACUCAUGGGCUCCAAGUCAUUUAAUUGGGCCUCAAGUCAUUAGGUCUAUAUAUAGUUCUUUACGACUUAGGGUUAAGGAUAUCAGGGGAUCAUUGUUUAGGGACAGCAAUAGCUGUAGGGCAGAGAUAUUUUUCUCUGAGGGCCUCGCAGGAGGAGUUUAUAUAUCGUAUUUUUAUUUUCUUUCUUCUUUCUUCAUCUUCACACGCCUUUACUCUAUCA